rnacentral:rRNA from 1 species
AUUGAACGCUGGCGGCAGGCUUAACACAUGCAAGUCGAGCGGAGAUGAGGUGCUUGCACCUUAUCUUAGCGGCGGACGGGUGAGUAAUGCUUAGGAAUCUGCCUAUUAGUGGGGGACAACAUUCCGAAAGGAAUGCUAAUACCGCAUACGUCCUACGGGAGAAAGCAGGGGAUCUUCGGACCUUGCGCUAAUAGAUGAGCCUAAGUCGGAUUAGCUAGUUGGUGGGGUAAAGGCCUACCAAGGCGACGAUCUGUAGCGGGUCUGAGAGGAUGGUCCGCCACACUGGGACUGAGACACGGCCCAGACUCCUACGGGAGGCAGCAGUGGGGAAUAUUGGACAAUGGGGGGCACCCUGAUCCAGCCAUGCCGCGUGUGUGAAGAAGGCCUUAUGGUUGUAAAGCACUUUAAGCGAGGAGGAGGCUACUGAGACUAAUACUCUUGGAUAGUGGACGUUACUCGCAGAAUAAGCACCGGCUAACUCUGUGCCAGCCGCCGCGGUAAAAC